GGACAGAUCUCUGGAGAGUUCCGAUAAGGACGCCGAAGGGGCAAACAGCGUAAGCUGCAUAAUCUCUCAGGCAAAAGGACAGAGGGUAUUAG
rnacentral:ncRNA from 2 species